rnacentral:rRNA from 1 species
GUCCACGCCGUAAACGGUGGGCACUAGGUGUGGGAUUCACUCAACGGAUUCCGUGCCGCAGCUAACGCAUUAAGUGCCCCGCCUGGGGAGUACGGCCGCAAGGCUAAAACUCAAAGGAAUUGACGGGGGCCCGCACAAGCGGCGGAGCAUGUUGCUUAAUUCGAGGCAACGCGAAGAACCUUACCUAGGUUUGACAUGUACGGAAAAGCUACAGAGAUGUGGUGUCCUUCGGGGCCGGUACACAGGUGGUGCAUGGCUGUCGU